rnacentral:rRNA from 1 species
AUUGAACGCUGGCGGCAUGCCUUACACAUGCAAGUCGAACGGCAGCGCGUCCUUCGGGAUGGCGGCGAGUGGCGAACGGGUGAGUAAAGCAUCGGAACGUGCCCGGUAGUGCGGGAUAGCUCGGCGAAAGCCGGAUUAAUACCGCAUGAGAUCUGCGGAUGAAAGCAGGGGACCCGAAAGGGCCUUGCGCUACUGGAGCGGCCGAUGUCAGAUUAGGUAGUUGGUGAGGUAAAGGCUCACCAAGCCUGCGAUCUGUAGCUGGUCUGAGAGGAUGAUCAGCCACAUCGGGACUGAGACACGGCCCGAACUCCUACGGGAGGCAGCAGUGGGGAAUUUUGGACAAUGGGCGCAAGCCUGAUCCAGCCAUGCCGCGUGCAGGAUGAAGGCCUUCGGGUUGUAAACUGCUUUUGUACGGUAACGAAAGGCUCUUUCUAAUAAGGGAGUUGAUGACGGUACCGUAAGAAUAAGCACCGGCUAACUACGUGA